rnacentral:rRNA from 1 species
AACGAACGCUGGCGGCAGGCUUAACACAUGCAAGUCGAGCGCCCCGCAAGGGGAGCGGCAGACGGGUGAGUAACGCGUGGGAAUCUACCCAUCUCUACGGAAUAACGCAUGGAAACGUGUGCUAAUACCGUAUACGUUCUUCGGGAGAAAGAUUUAUCGGAGAUGGAUGAGCCCGCGUUGGAUUAGCUAGUUGGUGGGGUAAAGGCCUACCAAGGCGACGAUCCAUAGCUGGUCUGAGAGGAUGAUCAGCCACACUGGGACUGAGACACGGCCCAGACUCCUACGGGAGGCAGCAGUGGGGAAUAUUGGACAAUGGGCGCAAGCCUGAUCCAGCCAUGCCGCGUGAGUGAUGAAGGCCCUAGGGUUGUAAAGCUCUUUCACCGGUGAAGAUAAUGACGGUAACCGGAGAAGAAGCCCCGGCUAACUUCGUGCAAGCCGCCGCGGUAACAC